rfam:Triticum aestivum genome assembly, contig: Triticum_aestivum_CS42_TGACv1_scaffold_221429_3B
UAAAUACUCCCUCCGUCCGGAAAUACUUGUCAUCAAAAUGGAUAAUUAUUGAAAUUUUUGCAUAAUAAAAAUGGAUGAUCCCUUUUUAUCCAUUAAUCCCUUUUUAUCCAUUUUGAUGACAAGUAUUUCCGGACGGAGGGAGUAUUUA